AUUUAUUGCAGUAUAACAUGCUAGUUAAGGGUCAAUUAAACUUAGCCUUUUUAGUAAACGGAAUUAAAUAAACUAACAAACUCGAACAGUCUCUUAAUUGGUCUAGUUCAAACUUAGGAUUAUAGAUGCUUCUCUCUCUCUCUCUCCCUUUCACACUUCUACGUCUAUGAUCUUAUUUUCUUUGUUCACUCUGACUAGCUAGAUUUUCUUCUGAAUUCAUGACAGACAUUAUGAAUAUAUGCCACCAUUCCCCUUCAGGGUAAGUUUUUGUUUAGGAUUUAGCCUAGGCAUUCCUUUAAGAAACCGAUUGAACAGAGCCUAUAUCUAAAUAAUCAUAAUUGAAGAAGUUAGAUAGUACUACAAGCAUUAGAAAUUUAGGAUUGGUGUGAUAUAAUUAAUUAAGUACAGAUCUUUGCUUAAUCCUUCCUUCCUCUAGCUGGGGAUCAUUCAUAACAUAAGUUUCCGGGCACUUGCACAAGGGAACGCAAGAACCAAAAAGUGAAGCUCAAAAAUAUUUGCCAUUUUCUUCUUUUUAUUUUUCAUAAAGCUGCUUGGACCUUGUCUUGAUGCAUUUAUGUCUUGCACAUCUCUCUCUCUCCCUUGCUGAUUGGCGGGUCUCUCGAGAUGGAAUAAAUGAUAUAUAGGAUUGCCUGAUUGAUAUCGGAUAAUUACUCAGUACCCUUUCAAGGUGGGGAUAUCGGAUAAUUACUCAGUACCCUUUCAAGGUGGGGGACUAUAAUAUAGUAGAUUGGCCCCAGUUGUGGCUAUAAGCAUAUAUGUUCCAUAUCAAGAAUAAGAUGUUUUCACACGACAAAAGUUGUCCAUACAAAUAAUUUAUCUGUGCCUUAUCAAUGUGGGGGACUAAAAGAUGAUAAUUGGUCCCUCUAACAAAAUGAUGGGUCUGCGUGCUCCCCAACUGUACAUCCUCUCAUGUUAUCCCCUCAAGUAGCCUGCUUUUCGAGUACAAAAAUUCAUUUCUCUUCAUCUAUGUUUCUCAGCAAUAUUUUUCUGACAGGAAAAACUUUCUUUUUUCCUUUUUCCCUUUCUUUUUCAGAAGCUGAAGUA
rnacentral:misc_RNA from 1 species